CCGAGCAAAUGUUUGCUUUAUGUAUGGGUUAUCAAGAUGGAUUACAGCACAAUUCUCAAUAAAAAGGUUAAUAUAAAUAUGACCAAUGUUUAUAAUGAUGUUACCAUAAAGUGUUGGACUCCGUCACAGUACAUUCUAAGAAAAACAAAGACCUGCCAAAGAAAUGCCUCAAUACCUAUAAAAAAUAAAACAAGAGCCCACAUAAUAACAUUUCCUGUUUUUGGCUUUAUAUUUCUGAGAAAAAUGCCUCACCAAGCAUAUGAUAUCGAGAACAUUUCUAUGGUAAAAGAAGGUGAUCAUCUGUGUGAGAAGGCCCAACUGCAAGAACUGAACCAGCACUUUGGUGACUGAAUCCAGAAUGUGAGGGCUAUGAGGGGUCAGCCAGCACAGCACAGCUGAAUCACAUUCUGAGGUUAGAGGAGGUGAUCCUAGCCAUCUGGAACAUGCAUGAUAAAGAGAUCCAGGCCCUCCAUGGGCAACUGGAGCUGACAAGCUAUGAGAGGGCAAGACUAGAGCUAAACAACCUCUAGAACUGCCAGAUGGCUACUGAUUACCUGGACAGUUUUGCAACAAAUUUGUCCUGGUUCCACAAUACUGUUUGCUUCUUUUGAAAACCAAGCCAUUCUGAGUUACUGAGCUAAAUGGCCACCUCUUAAGAAAAGAAGAAGAACUGAGGAGUCAGCAGCUGAUAUUGUCUCAGAAGGAACAGGAGCUUGAGAAAAAGACUGAUUUGACUAUUUCUCCCUCUGCCAAGCCUGAUGGGCAGGCACGAACUUGAAGAACUACACCACCAUCUCCAAGAAGUUCAGUUCAGGUGGGGGGUCAUUUGGAAUCACUUUUAAAAACAGAACGUUGAUUUAAAUUGUUUUAUCUUGGUCGAAACCUUUACAAAAGUGUAAGGGCAUAUUGGAUUAAUGGACUGCAAAAGGUCUGAAGAAAGCUGACUCCACUCAACAAAGUAACUCAGUUCAUUUAUCUUUUAUGCUUUAGUUUAAUCCUUUGCUUUUAACAUGUGCCAAUAUAGAGUCCUGCACAGUCUUAAAAUAAAGAUGUUUGAUCAUUUUAAUAAAUGAAAGCUGUGGGUGCUAGCAGAGUAAAUUAAAUAGCUGAGGGUAUGAGAAGUGGGGGUGUAAAUCAGCACUUCGGUGGCAGACUAUCUUGGAAGGAUAUAAGAUAGCUGCAGUGAUUUAUUGAGUAAUCAAUAAUAGCUACCCAAUCCUUCACAGACUCAUUUUAUACUUUAAAGCACAUUCUUACUCAGAAAGUUUAUAUCAAAGUAAGAGAGCAUGACAACUUCAACAAAAUGACCUUGAAAGAUGCACUCCGAGCAUUUGAUUAUUUUCAAAACUCCAAAUGAAGCCAUUUUUGUUCCAAUGAGGGACAUUUAAAUGUAUACAUUGUAUUUAUUUACUAAAGUAUUUUAUUUCAGAUAGUCUUCUUUGCUUUGCAGUUGCAAAUGCUAUCGUAAUACAAGUACAUGUAUAACUUCUGACUUCUCUAACAUAUUUGGGGUGUUUUCAAUACCAGUAGCUUUAUUUCCCUGAUCUUUACAUUUCAAUGGAGAGAGUCUGUAUUUCAUAACCCUGUGCUGAAUCAUCGUUAUCAGCAUAGGAAAGCAUGCAAUCAUGUAUUCAAUGAUGAACCGUUUUCAUUUAAGUAUAUGACUGUCAGCUCCUGCCCCUAAACUGUUAUGCUCCAGGCCUUUUAUGUGCAUGAUCUGGUUUGAUUUAUUUGAAGGAACUGACUACGUUAAAAACUCUAACAGUAAAUCAAAAGUUUAAUUAAAAGCAGUGAGUUGCGUAACCCAAUAGCCAUUCAUUACCUUGAGGCACUGUAACGAGUCCCAUUUGUCACUAUUAUCUUGUACUUCCCUUUCAGCCAAUAGCUUGAACAAUUAAAGGCUUUACUAAACCUUCCCUUUCUAAACACACAAUGUAUUAUUUCAUUGUAUCAAACCUGCGUAUUUACUCUAGAAAGCAGAACUUUAAACCUCUGAGCAAAUAAGUUUAAACUUGAGGGUGUCCUUGAAAACUGUUCUGCCACAAUUUCCUUUUCAUAUGGGAUGUUCAUAAUACCUUUUUUCCCCCCUAAUUGAAGCGAUACAAAAUGUAACGUGUUCCAGAAGUUUUGAAACGCGUACCUUGUUUCACAAUUUUACCUUAAUGUUUGAAACCUGCUUGGAUUUUUUUUACAUUUUAUUAUUGUACUAAAAUGUAAAUUUUCUGUUCACGGAUUACAACCAUAACUGUCUGUCUGAACCCGUACGCUUCACAAUUACUUUCUGUUUGUAUUCAAACAGCUGAAUGCAAUUCAAAUACUGACAUUGUGAGUUCCUUGCAAGUACAAACUUAAAACACACAAAAACGAUAACUGCUUUUCUAUUAAACAUUGAAAGUUGUGAUCUUAUCACAAAGCAGAAUGAAUACGGGGUUGUCAAUAAAUUUGGAUUUGCUUUUAGCUUAGUUUAAUGAAGACUACUCUAAGUGAUACCAAUGAUAUUGGCUAGCAGUUUCUGAGGUCACUUUUCAAUACGACUAGUCGACUAUUCAGUGUUAGCCCUGUUUGGAACUUUUUAAAAGCCACUAAAAUAAUUGAAGUGCCAUAAUUUGAAUGUAAUCCUAGGGCAUACUCUGACAAGUACAAUAAUAACAUGUGUAAUACGAAAUGUAAAAAUACAUAAGAUACAAUCAAUUCCUCACACCAACUUUAUGUUGAAUUUAGUUAUUAAAAGUUAAACCUAAGCUGAAGAGUGCAAACAAAACAACUGAGCACUGAUUUACUGAUUUUGUUCUUUUCAGAUUGUUGGCAGUUAUUUUUGCUUCACACACGUUUAAUAAAAUAGUAGGAUUUUUCCUUUUCCAAUCUUGUAAUGACUGCUGCUCUUCAGUAACAUGUCAAUGUAUGAGUUGACUGUUACAGCUGCAGGCUGCUGCUUGUCAGUGAACAUACCAAGUUAGCUCAACUCAAACAGCAUGGUUGUCCUAUUGGGUUAAGAACUAAGAACUCAAAACAUAUGCUGCUCACAUUCAGAAGGGCAUUGGGACCUUUCACACUUUUUAGUUACAAGUGACAUCUGAUUAUAACCAACAUAAUAAUUCAGUCUAAUAACCCGCAUGUCAAUACCCACAAAAUGGGAUUUAUUGAUUUAAAAAAAUAUCACAUGUUGAUUAAAAACACCCAAUUAUAUAAAAUUAACGUUCUCCUGCUUACAUGGAGUUUACUGUUGCAUAAUAAUAAUCAUGGCUGACAAGCCAAACCGUUUAAUAUUGCUACAGUACAAUAAUGACAAUGGCCAUACAGUAACAGGCAGAUAAUUAGUAUGUAUAAUGCCUGUGCUACUUAAUUAACUUGCAUUCUAAACUCAUUUAUAAUUAUGCUUUGUUUAUCCUUUAUAAAUUAAUAAAAGCUAUUGGGCAGGAUUUUCAAAAAACAGUGUUAUUGUAUCAAACUCGUGGUAUAGUAACAAGAGCUUUAGUAGCAAACACGGGUUAAAAUUCUACUGGUACUCACCGGUACUCUGUACCUGGACUUAUUUAAUCUGCUUUUCAUCCAGUGCGGAUGCAUUCCAGUCCACACAGUCCACUAGCGCAACUUUCUCAAAUACACUUUCAUUCAGCACAGU